rnacentral:rRNA from 1 species
GAUGAACGCUAGCGGCAGGCCUAAUACAUGCAAGUCGAACGGUAAAUAUGCCAGCAAUGGUAUAUGAGAGUGACGCACGGGUGCGUAACACGUAUGCAACCUACCCUUUACAGGAGUAUAGCUCGGGGAAACUCGAAUUAACACUUCAUAGUAUAAUUGAAUGGCAUCAUUUGAUUAUUAAAUCUGCGGAGGUAAAGGAU